rnacentral:rRNA from 1 species
AUUGAACGCUGGCGGCAGGCCUAACACAUGCAAGUCGAGCGAGCGGCGGACGGGUGAGUAAUGUCUGGGUAACUGCCUGACGGAGGGGGAUAACUACUGGAAACGGUAGCUAAUACCGCAUACUAUCAGAUGAACACAGAUGGGAUUAGCUAGUGGGUGGGGUAACGGCUCACCUAGGCGUCGAUCCCUAGCUGGUCUGAGAGGAUGACCAGCCACACUGGAACUGAGACACGGUCCAGACUCCUACGGGAGGCAGCAGUGGGGAAUAUUGCACAAUGGGCGCAAGCCUGAUACAGCCAUGCCGCGUGUGUGAAGAAGGCCUUCGGGUUGUAAAGCACUUUCAGUGGGGAGGCGUUACCCGCAGAAGAAGCACCGGCUAACUCCGUGCCAGCAGCCGCGGUAAUAC